rnacentral:sRNA from 1 species
GACGCUGGUGGUUGGCGCUCCUGGUUUCCAGGAUGGGGUUCCAUUCUCAAAGUAUU